rnacentral:lncRNA from 1 species
GAAAGGCUGACCCAGGGCUCCAGGGCCCCAGUUGGCCCCCAGGGGAGUGCCCCAAGUUAGGAGGCAACUGCAGGUGGGGAGGGGCUGGACAGGCUGCUUCUGUUCCUUAAGGGAUGGGCCUCAGCUAAGCAGCGUUUCUGGAGCUGGCAGGUUGCUCCGAUGCCCCUGGGCCCUGGCACCUGACUGAGUUGAGUAUGACAUCCUGUCCUCUCUGAGCUGGUCCUGCUGGGAGCCGAGCCAUCCUGGGACCAGCUCCCACAUGCACACGCCCACACCUACACACAGGGCAGUGGGGAAGGG